AACAUGGUGGCUUAGUGGUUAUAACAUUUGCCUUGCACCUCCAGGAUUUGGGGUUCGAUUCCCACCAUGUGU